AACCUUAAGAAAGAACACCCUGCUUUUGUAACAGAUGAAGAAAGGCUAUGGAAGAGACAGAUUCUGGAGGAUGCAGCAUUCAAGGUUCUAUCUUGGAAGCAGAGACUGUGCCCUCACCAGAUGCUGAACCUGCUGAGCACCCUGAUCUUCCACUUCACCUUCAUCAGAACUACUGCUGUGAUUGCACCUGCCAUCUUAUGCAGAAAUGACCUGAAGACAGACUGAAACAACGUGUUCUACAG
rnacentral:lncRNA from 1 species